CUCUUGCGGAGUAUGCAAAUCCAUGGGCCAAUUCCUCCAAAUCCAUGCCAUCGCCGUCAAGACCGUCCAGGACCGCCACGCCCUCGUCCUCUUCAAUCUGCUCCGCGUCUCCUCCUUCUUCCUCUGCUCCCUCGAAUGCAACCUUUCAACACUUCCAAUCUAUAAACUCACAGGAUGUUGAUCAGAAAA